UGAGCCCAGAAGAAAAGAGAGACUGAGAGAGAGGAGGGUGGAUCAGGGACGGGAGCUGGAGCUGGAGGUGUCUGAGAGCCGGACACGGGAAAGGGAGGAAGAAGUGGCCGCCAGAAACCUGAGAGAGACACGGGAGAGACGAGAGCGAGAAAUUCGUGACCUUGAUGAUGAUGGAAGAAGACAGAGAGAAUCAGUGAGGUACGAGAGGGAGAGAGAGAUCUCAGUGGCAGCAGCAGAAGCCGAUGUCAGAGUGCAACGUGAGAUCCGGGAACGAGGUGAGGAGCUGAGAAGGAGAGAACGUCCCCGUGAGUGUGAAGAGAGGAGAAUCUGCCCCAGAAGAGACAGGGAAGAGCCCCUGAGGAAAGGGAGAAUCGACCGUGAACGGGAUCUGGAGGUGUCUGAGCACCGGACACGGGAAAGGGAGGAAGAAGUGGCCACAGUCGGCCUGAGAGAGACACGGGAGAGACGAGAGCGAGAAAUUCGUGACCUUGAUGAUGGAAGGAGAAGACAAGAAGUGUAUGACAGGAGAAGAGAGAUCUCAGUGGCAGCAGCAGAAGCCGAUGUCAGAGUGCGCCGUGAGAUCCAGGAACGAGGUGAGGAGCUGAGAAGGAAAGAACGUCCCCGUGAGGGUGAGGAGGAAGCAGAGCCAGGGAGGAGAAUCUCCCGGGUCAGAGAGAGGGAAGAGGCCCUGAGGGAGAGGAGAAUCGACCGGGAGCGGGAGCUGGAGCUGGAGCUGGAGCUGGAGGCCUCUGAGCGCCGCAGCCGCCAGCCACGGGCCAGGGCGGCCCAAGUGACCAUCACUGACCAGAGGGAGGCACGUGAGGAG
rnacentral:lncRNA from 1 species